rnacentral:misc_RNA from 1 species
UACGAGUGGCCCGAGCGUUAAUCGGAAUCACUGGGCUUAAAGGGUGCGCAGGCGGAUCGGCAGGCGUCUUGUGAAAGCCCUCGGCUCAACCGAGGAAUUGCAGGGCGAACCGCCGAUCUUGAGGCAGGUAGGGGUCGAUGGAACCAUCGGUGGAGCGGUGAAAUGCGUAGAUAUCGAUGGGAACGCCAAAGGCGAAGGCAGUCGACUGGGCCUGUCCUGACGCUCAGGCACGAAAGCGUGGGGAGCAAACAGG